rnacentral:rRNA from 1 species
AUUGAACGCUGGCGGCAGGCCUAACACAUGCAAGUCGAGCGGAUGAGGAGAGCUUGCUCUCUGAUUCAGCGGCGGACGGGUGAGUAAUGCCUAGGAAUCUGCCUGGUAGUGGGGGACAACGUUUCGAAAGGAACGCUAAUACCGCAUACGUCCUACGGGAGAAAGUGGGGGAUCUUCGGACCUCACGCUAUCAGAUGAGCCUAGGUCGGAUUAGCUAGUUGGUGGGGUAACGGCUCACCAAGGCGACGAUCCGUAACUGGUCUGAGAGGAUGAUCAGUCACACUGGAACUGAGACACGGUCCAGACUCCUACGGGAGGCAGCAGUGGGGAAUAUUGGACAAUGGGCGAAAGCCUGAUCCAGCCAUGCCGCGUGUGUGAAGAAGGCCCUCGGGUCGUAAAGCACUUUAAGCUGGGAGGAAGGGUUGUAACCUAAUACGUUGCAGCUUUGACGUUACCAGCAGAAUAAGCACCGGCUAACUCUGUGCCAGCCGCCGCCGUAACAC